UGAGAUGUAGCUCAGCGGCACAGCACUUGCCUGGCAAGCAUGAGGCCCUGGGUUCGAUUCCUGGUACAA
rnacentral:tRNA from 1 species